UGGGGAAUAUUGCACAAUGGGCGCAAGCCUGAUGCAGCCAUGCCGCGUGUGUGAAGAAGGCCUUCGGGUUGUAAAGCACUUUCAGCGAGGAGGAAGGUGGUGAACUUAAUACGUUCAUCAAUUGACGUUACUCGCAGAAGAAGCACCGGCUAACUCCGUGCCAGCAGCCGCGGUAAUACGGAGGGUGCAAGCGUUAAUCGGAAUUACUGGGCGUAAAGCGCACGCAGGCGGUUUGUUAAGUCAGAUGUGAAAUCCCCGGGCUCAACCUGGGAACUGCAUUUGAAACUGGCAAGCUAGAGUCUCGUAGAGGGGGGUAGAAUUCCAGGUGUAGCGGUGAAAUGCGUAGAGAUCUGGAGGAAUACCGGUGGCGAAGGCGGCCCCCUGGACGAAGACUGACGCUCAGGUGCGAAAGCGUGGGGCAGCAAACAGGAUUAGAUACCCUGGUAGUCCACGCUGUAAAACGAUGUCGAUUUGGAGGUUGUGCCCUUGAGGCGUGGCUUCCGGAGCUAACGCGUUAAAUCGACCGCC
rnacentral:rRNA from 1 species